AUGGCAUCAAGAAAUUGUUAUAGCAAAGAUCUGAUUCCAUUUGCUGCAAUGGUUGCAAUGGAGUUCACAAACGUUGGUGUCAAUGUUCUAUUCAAAGCAGCUACUCACAAUGGUUUGAGUUUCUAUGUCUUCACUGCUUAUUCAUAUGUUGUAUCCUCUCUUGUUCUCCUUUUGCCUCUACCCUUCUUCAAAAGAGUUGUAGCUUUGCUAUUUGGAUAUAAAGGGCUUGAAUACACUACACCUAUACUCUUGCAUCUGCUCUUGGCAACAUUAUACCUGCUUUUACUUUCAUCCUAG